rnacentral:rRNA from 1 species
AAUCAACGCUGGCGGCGUGCCUAACACAUGCAAGUCGAACGCGAAAGCCCGCAAGGGUGAGUAGAGUGGCGCACGGGUGAGUAACACGUGGACAACCUGCCUUCGAGUGGGGAAGUAACCUUCCGAAAGGAGGGCUAAUACCGCAUAACACCUCGGGACACAAGUUCUGGGGUUGAAAAGAGCAAUUUGCUCGAAGAGGGGUCCGCGCCUGAUUAGCUAGUUGGUGAGGUAACGGCUCACCAAGGCUUCGAUCAGUAGCCGUCCUGAGAGGGAGCACGGCCACACUGGAACUGAGACACGGUCCAGACUCCUACGGGAGGCAGCAGUGGGG